rnacentral:sRNA from 1 species
AUUCUCUUUUCUUUUAUUCUUGUCUGUUCUGCCUCACUCCCGAGCUCUACUGACUCCCAACAGAGCGCCCAAGAAGAAAAUGGCCAUAAGUGGAGUCCCUGUGCUAGGAUUUUUCAUCAUAGCUGUGCUGAUGAGCGCUCAGGAAUCAUGGGCUAUCAAAGAAGAAUUUGGACGAUUUGCCAGCUUUGAGGCUCAAGGUGCAUUGGCCAACAUAGCUGUGGACAAAGCCAACCUGGAAAUCAUGACAAAGCGCUCCAACUAUACUCCGAUCACCAAUGUACCUCCAGAGGU